AUGAAAAUAGACAGAGAGACUGCAUAUUUUUGCGGCGCCGACGGGGAAAGCAUGUGAAUGUGAAACUCUCAGGCAAAAGGAUGUUUAUGGGACG
rnacentral:ncRNA from 2 species